CCUCACUGUCAUUAUCACGGUCACAUUACAGACUCCUGCAGCCUCCCUCACUGCAGUUAUCAUGGUCACAUUACAGACUCCUGCAGCCUCCCCUCACUGCAGUUAUCAUGGUCACAUUACAGACUCCUGCAGCCUCCCCUCACUGCAGUUAUCAUGGUCACAUUACAGACUCCUGCAGCCUCCCCUCACUGUCAUUAUCACGGUCACAUUACAGACUCCUGCAGCCUCCCCUCACUGUCAUUAUCACGGUCACAUUACAGACUCCUGCAGCCUCCCCUCACUGUCGUUAUCACGGUCACAUUACAGACUCCUGCAGCCUCCCCUCACUGUCGUUAUCACGGUCACAUCACAUUACAGACUCCUGCAGCCUCCCCUCACUGUCGUUAUCACGGUCACAUUACAGACUCCUGCAGCCUCCCCUCACUGUCGUUAUCACGGUCACAUCACAUCACAGACUCCUGCAGCCUCCCCUCACUGUCGUUAUCACGGUCACAUCACAUUACAGACUCCUGCAGCCUCCCCUCACUGUCGUUAUCACGGUCACAUCACAUUACAGACUCCUGCAGCCUCCCCUCACUGUCGUUAUCACGGUCACAUUACAGAGUCCUGCAGCCUCCCCUCACUGUCGUUAUCACGGUCACAUUACAGAGUCCUGCAGUUUCCCCUCACUGUCGUUAUCACGGUCACAUUACAGACUCCUGCAGCCUCCCCUCACUGUCGUUAUCACGGUCACAGACUCCUGCAGCCUCCCCUCACUGUCGUUAUCACGGUCACAUCACAUUACAGAGUCCUGCAGUUUCCCCUCACUGUCGUUAUCACGGUCACAUUACAGACUCCUGCAGCCUCCCCUCACUGUCGUUAUCACGGUCACAUUACAGACUCCUGCAGCCUCCCCUCACUGUCGUUAUCACGGUCACAUCACAUUACAGAUUCCUGCAGCCUCCCUCACUGUCGUUAUCACGGUCACAUUAGACUCCUGCAGCCUCCCCUCACUGUCGUUAUCACGGUCACAUCACAGACUCCUGCAGCCUCCCCUCACUGUCGUUAUCACGGUCACAUUACAUUACAGACUCCUGCAGCCUCCCCUCACUGUCGUUAUCACGGUCACAUUAGACUCCUGCAGCCUCCCUCACUGUCGUUAUCACGGUCACAUCACAUACAGACUCCUGCAGCCUCCCCUCACUGUCGUUAUCACGGUCACAUCACAUUAGACUCCUGCAGCCUCCCCUCACUGUCGUUAUCACGGUCACAUUACAGACUCCUGCAGCCUCCCCUCACUGUCGUUAUCACGGUCACAUCACAUUAGACUCCUGCAGCCUCCCCUCACUGUCAUUAUCACGGUCACAUUACAGACUCCUGCAGCCUCCCCUCACUGUCGUUAUCACGGUCACAUCACAUUAGACUCCUGCAGCCUCCCCUCACUGUCGUUAUCACGGUCACAUCACAUUACAGACUCCUGCAGCCUCCCCUCACUGUCGUUAUCACGGUCACAUUACAGACUCCUGCAGCCUCCCCUUACUGUCGUUAUCACGGUCACAUUAGACUCCUGCAGCCUCCCCUCACUGUCGUUAUCACGGUCACAUCACAUUACAGAUUCCUGCAGCCUCCCCUCACUGUCGUUAUCACGGUCAUAUCACAUUACAGACUCCUGCAGCCUCCCCUCACUGUCGUUAUCACGGUCACAUUACAGACUCCUGCAGCCUCCCCUCACUGUCGUUAUCACGGUCACAUUACAGACUCCUGCAGCCUCCCCUCACUGUCGUUAUCACGGUCACAUCACAUUACAGACUCCUGCAGCCUCCCCUCACUGUCGUUAUCACGGUCACAUCACAUUACAGACUCCUGCAGCCUCCCCUCACUGUCGUUAUCACGGUCACAUUACAGACUCCUGCAGCCUCCCCACUGUCGUUAUCACGGUCACAUUACAGACUCCUGCAGCCUCCC
ensembl:lncRNA